rnacentral:rRNA from 1 species
CAGUCGCCGCGGUAAUACGAAGGGUGCAAGCGUUACUCGGAAUUACUGGGCGUAAAGCGUGCGUAGGUGGUUGUUUAAGUCUGCUGUGAAAGCCCUGGGCUCAACCUGGGAAUUGCAGUGGAUACUGGGCGACUAGAGUAAGGUAGAGGAUAGUGGAAUUUCCGGUGUAGCAGUGAAAUGCGUAGAGAUCGGAAGGAACAUCUGUGGCGAAGGCGACUAUCUGGGCCAUUACUGACACUGAGGCACGAAAGCGUGGGGAGCAAACAGGAUUAGAUACCCCGGUAGUCCCUGUCUCUUAUAC